CCUACGGGUGGCAGCAGUGGGGGAUAUUGCACAAUGGGGGAAACCCUGAUGCAGCGACGCCGCGUGAGUGAAGAAGUAUUUCGGUAUGUAAAGCUCUAUCAGCAGGGAAGAAAAAAGACGGUACCUGACUAAGAAGCCCCGGCUAACUACGUGCCAGCAGCCGCGGUAAUACGUAGGGAGCAAGCGUUUCCCGGAUUUAUUGGGUGUAAAGGGGGCGUAGGCGGGCAGUCAAGUUGGUUGUGAAAUCCCGCGGAUUAACUGGGGAACUGCAACCAAAACUGACUGUCUUGAGUGCUGGAGAGGAAAGUGGAAUUCCUAGUGUAGCGGUGAAAUGCGUAGAUAUUAGGAGGAACACCAGUGGCGAAGGCGACUUUCUGGACAGUAACUGACGUUGAGGCACGAAGGUGUGGGGAGCAAACAGGAUUAGAUACCCUUGUAGUC
rnacentral:rRNA from 1 species